rnacentral:lncRNA from 1 species
GGGAAAGAAAGGACUUUUAUUAAGAAAGGAAAUCUUAAUAUCUAUUCUCUGAAGGACAAUGGUCUUUCAGUGAUUUAGUACCACAGUCCUAGUUACAACACUAAGUUAUAAAUAAGACGCUGUUUUAAGAACUGGAAUACUUUUUUCUGUAUACAUAAUUGUAAAAUUCAGAAAUAAAUGAAGAGUUUUAGCAAAGUAAAAAAAUUGAGAGCCAAAAUAUCUUGCUUGUGCCCACUAGAAACUAGUAAAUGAAUUCUGCUGACUGGAGAGCAGACUGAGCCAGUGGUCCACAACUACUUCUUCCGCAUUCUGCCUCAUCCAGCUUUGCGAAGUUUCCCCAGAGCUUUGUCAUCAUUCACCGUGGAGGCGGUAAUUGGGUGGUGGAGGAGAGACGGACACUGAAUCACUCUUGUCUGAUAUUACUUAACACUGGCAAACUUUGGAUGAAAUCCCCAUUGACCUAAGAUUCCUAGUUGACUCCUUCAAAAGAGCCAAGUCAGGGCGUUCUCUGAGCAGCGGUAUGUAGUACAUCAAACACCUUCACGAAAAACUUCAGCCGACUAUCUUUUAAGUCACGUCAUAGAGCCCAGAGGAGAACGCCUGGAAACGGUUUGCGGAGAGAGGGGUGAGGUCCCCUUCUCGGUGAAGGCGACUUAGCUGACUGGAGUAGUUUCCGUGCUCUCCUUGUCCCG